AUGUGGCAACCCAAACAGCCUGGGGUGGAGAUGAAGCCCGAAGCUUCAGGAAAAGCUAGAAAGAGGAAACACCAGGAUGGAAGUGGAACAGAGACAGAGUCUGACGCUUUGGGACAACGUACAAAGACCAAACGCCAGGAUGGGACAGAGAUGAUAUUUAAAGAAUCUGGCAAGGCCUGGAAGAAGACCCCUCCGGAGCAUCAAGACCUAGAGCUUGAGAGAGACCAGUCGGGUAAGGGUCAGGUACAGAAGUCCCAGGAAGACGGUCCAAGACAACCCCUAGAGUACAUCAAAGGCCCUUCAGAUCAGGCUGAGAGGAAGCCUGCUGAUUGUCGCAAGGGGUGUAAGCGUCCCUACUCUGCCCUGGAGGAAAACCAACAAAGCCCCCCAAAGGAAAAGCACGAGAGGUUACGUAAACACCUUAAAUGUGUUGAAGACCCACAGCCUGACCCACACAGGCCUCAACCAGUAACAUCCAAGAUGAAGGGCAGCGUGUCAGGGCACAGUCAUCGCUCACAAACAACACAGAAAGAUCAAGAACCACCUACACCAGACGAGAGAGAGGGCAGAUAUUCAGAGGACAAGUCCAUUACAGAAAAGGAAGGUGGUGUAAAGCAUGACGCAAGAAGGGGGAACAACUUGGAGCCUGCCUUACCCGGAACACCAGCUCCAAUCAUCCUGGAUAGUGGCAGAGGCGAUAGCUUCCUCCCCAACAGGAUGGCAGUACUUGAGGCAGAGAAAAAGCCUGUCAAAAACCUAAAGGGGGGCAGAGAAGUCGAUCAAAAUUUUCAUGUUACAGAAGACAUGGAGAAGGAUAUUAAGAGCGCACUGGGUCCAGGACCCCAAGAGGAAAUCCUAAGUAGUAGAUUCAAAUUGCAAAUCACCCGAAGAGAUAUCCAGACCCUGAAGAACAGUCAAUGGCUCAAUGAUGAGGUCAUCAAUUUCUACAUGAACCUUCUGGUUGAGAGAAAUGAAAACCAAGGCUACCCAGCCCUUCAUGUGUUCAGCACUUUCUUUUACCCCAAGCUAAAGCAGAGCGGUUACACUGCUGUGAAAAGGUGGACCCGAGGAAUCGAUCUCUUUGACAAAGAACUUAUCUUGGUGCCUAUUCACCAGAGGGUACAUUGGAGCCUGGUGGUAAUCGAUUUGAGAAAACAAAGUAUCAUAUACCUCGAUUCCAUGGGACAGACAGGGCAGACUAUCUGUGAGACCAUCUUCCAAUAUUUACAAAAUGAGAGCAAGACACGAAGGAACAUCGAGCUGGACCCUUUGGAGUGGAAACAACACAGCAUGUCAGCAGAGGAGAUUCCUCAGCAACGGAAUGGGAGUGACUGUGGGAUGUUCACCUGUAAAUAUGCAGACUACAUCGCUAGAGACCAACCUGUCACCUUCUCUCAGCAGCACAUGCCCAUCUUCAGGAAGAGGAUGGUAUGGGAAAUCCUGCACAGUCACUUACUGUAA